rnacentral:rRNA from 1 species
AGUGAACGCUGGCGGUAGGCCUAACACAUGCAAGUCGAACGGCAGCACAGUAAGAGCUUGCUCUUACGGGUGGCGAGUGGCGGACGGGUGAGGAAUACAUCGGAAUCUACUUUUUCGUGGGGGAUAACGUAGGGAAACUUACGCUAAUACCGCAUACGACCUACGGGUGAAAGCAGGGGAUCUUCGGACCUUGCGCGAUUGAAUGAGCCGAUGUCGGAUUAGCUAGUUGGCGGGGUAAAGGCCCACCAAGGCGACGAUCCGUAGCUGGUCUGAGAGGAUGAUCAGCCACACUGGAACUGAGACACGGUCCAGACUCCUACGGGAGGCAGCAGUGGGGAAUAUUGGACAAAGGGCGCAAGCCUGAUCCGGCCAUACCGCGUGGGUGAAGAAGGCCUUCGGGUUGUAAAGCCCUUUUGUUGGGAAAGAAAAGCAGCGGGUUAAUACCCCGCUGUUCUGACGGUACCCAAAGAAUAAGCACCGGCUAACUUCGUG